CUCAGAUUGAACGCUGGCGGCAGGCCUAACACAUGCAAGUCGAACGGUAACAGGAAGCAGCUUGCUGCUUCGCUGACGAGUGGCGGACGGGUGAGUAAUGUCUGGGAAACUGCCUGAUGGAGGGGGAUAACUACUGGAAACGGUGGCUAAUACCGCAUAACGUCGCAAGACCAAAGAGGGGGACCUUCGGGCCUCUUGCCAUCAGAUGUGCCCAGAUGGGAUUAGCUWGUUGGUGAGGUAACGGCUCACCAAGGCGACGAUCCCUAGCUGGUCUGAGAGGAUGACCAGCCACACUGGAACUGAGACACGGUCCAGACUCCUACGGGAGGCAGCAGUGGGGAAUAUUGCACAAUGGGCGCAAGCCUGAUGCAGCCAUGCCGCGUGUAUGAAGAAGGCCUUCGGGUUGUAAAGUACUUUCAGCGGGGAGGAAGGUGUUGUGGUUAAUAACCGCAGCAAUUGACGUUACCCGCAGAAGAAGCACCGGCUAAC
rnacentral:rRNA from 1 species